UCCGAGUUGACCCCGGCAGUCUCCCAUGAGUCCCCGGCAUAACCCGCUGGCAAUAUAGGAUAAGGGUUGCGCUCGUUGCGGGACUUAACCCAACAUCUCACGACACGAGCUGACGACAGCCAUGCACCACCUGUGCACUGGCCCCGAAGGGCUGCCGUGUUUCCACGACAUUCCAGUGCAUGUCAAGCCCUGGUAAGGUUCUUCGCGUCGCGUCGAAUUAAUCCACAUAAUCCACCGCUUGUGCGGGUCCCCGUCAAUUCCUUUGAGUUUUAACCUUGCGGCCGUACUCCCCAGGCGGGGUGCUUAAUGCGUUAGCUGCGCCACCGACCAGCAAGCUGGCCGACGGCUAGCACCCAUCGUUUACGGCGUGGACUAC
rnacentral:misc_RNA from 1 species